UUAAUGUACCGGAAGUUUGGUUUUUGAUCUUGAUUGAAGAAGCUUCACUGAAGAAAAUUACAGCAAAGCUUGAUUUAAUAGGGUACAAACACAACUACAGUACUGAGGGGUAAUUGUUCGUGCAUACCUCGCCGAGAAUGAAGAGAAAAUUUCGCAGUUCAAGAGAUGACUACUUAUCCUGCACCAUAAAAGUACUUUCAUAUAACUCACAGUUGAUGGAUAACAAGGUUAAAGAGUAGAUAUAACCCAAGGAGACGAAUGUUCUAAAAAAUGGAAGCUCAAAAGACGAAUGUUCUAAAAAAUGGCAGCUCAAAAUCAGUUGUAGACGACUCAAAUCAUGUUCAAAAGUACCUAAGGUAGCAGUGUUACAUGAACACCGACUCGACUAGUAGCAGCAUAUACACAGGGUAUUUUAUGUUUGAUAUUGACUAUCUGAGUGCUAUGAAAGCUGUGGAUCAUCGAAAAUAUUGGUGAUAAACGAGUCAUUGACAUAAGUAUUUUGUAAUUCAGGACAGUGCUUGACUUGAGAAGUUGCAAACGAUGAGUUAAACUGUGCUCAUAAGUCACUAAACUUUGUUGUUACAUACUAAUUUUAAAUAUGACGAACAAUUUGUUUAUGGUUAAAUAUUUGGACACAUUAUUUUUUGCAAAUUACAAAUGUUAUAUUUUUAAUUUGUCUAACUUGUCAUUUUAAAGUUGCUUCAAUAUUUCACAUUGUAUUGUACUUUUUUUUUUAAUUUUGCCUCUUUUAAUCAAUUAAAGAUGUUUUUAAUCAA